GAUGAACGCUAGCUACAGGCUUAACACAUGCAAGUCGCGGGGCAGCAUGGGGGUUGCUUGCAAUCCCCGAUGGCGACCGGCGCACGGGUGAGUAACGCGUAUCCAACCUGCCCUUCACCACGGGAUAACCCGGCGAAAGUCGGACUAAUACCGUAUGUUGUCCAUUGACGGCAUCCGAUUUGGACGAAAGGUUUGGCGGCGAAGGAUGGGGAUGCGUCCGAUUAGCUGGACGGCGGGGUGACGGCCCACCGGGGCGACGAUCGGUAGGGGUUCUGAGAGGAAGGUCCCCCGCACUGGAACUGAGACACGGUCCAGACUCCUACGGGGGGCAGCGGUGAGGAAUAUUGGGCAAUGAGCGUAAGCCUGAACCAGCCAAGUAGCGUGCAGGAUGACGGCCCUAUGGGUUGUAAACUGCUUUUAUGCGGGGAUAAAGUGGCCCACGUGUGGGUUUUUGCAGGUACCGCAUGAAUAAGGACCGGCUAAUUCCGUG
rnacentral:rRNA from 1 species